GGUCCAAACCGAGAACGAUUGACACAGCGGUGUGAACGGAGUUCCGUUUGAGUUGUCUUGGUUGGUGUUGGUUACGCUCCACCUUCCACCGGGAAACCUGCGAGCAAGCCUCGCACCACCACUGGGGUAGUGGGGGCCCUCCGACGAUCAAGUCAGAGGAGAUUGGAGGAGAAGGAGAGAUAAUAAUCGCAAGCAAGAGAGUGCUCUGGN
rnacentral:lncRNA from 1 species